rnacentral:rRNA from 1 species
AUGCAUUUGAGUAGCAAAAGGGCUGCUUACCUGAAAAUAGCGAACUGCAUUGUCAUAUCAAGACGAACUGCGGAACGCGUGGUUUGGCCUGUGUUUUGUGUAUGUCUUCUAAUGUGGAUUGCAUUUCCCUUUACACAGAGGAAGAAGUCUAGUAAGAGCAAUGCAGCUCAAGAUGAUGCUGAGGGAGAUGAUUCUCGAUUUAACAAGACCGUACGUUUGUCGCUUCCCACUGUUUGCAAGGCUGCUGCCUUGUUGAAAGAGGCACACUAUAGUCGUGUUCGGGAUGCUGGAUUUGGUGUUGUCUUUGAACUGACAGUAAAGAAAAAUGUGUCGCGCAUUCUUAUGUGCUAUCUGAUGGGAGUGAUUGACCCUGCCACCAUGAUAAUGGACUUUGGGAAUGGCAGGGUUCUUCGAAUCAAUCGUGAUGCAGUUCAUCACAUUUUUGAUUUACCCAUGGGACGGCACACUGCACCCAUGCCUGCUGCCAGUGGCCAUGAUGACUCGUUGAGUGCCCUCAAGGAUGAGCUUGGCUUUGACCGUUCAAAAAGUAUAGGUGUCAAGGACUUGCUUGAGAAGUUGAAGGCGUUGGUGGAGGAAGAUGAUCAUGUGACUGUUGACCUUGCUGUUAAGGUGUUCUUCCUGAUACUCUACCAGAAUUUGCUGUGCCCCGGGCCUGCAGUUCAUUUGGGUAGAGUUGCUGCAAUGGUAGAGAACAUGGAUUAUGCGGCUAUGGACUUUUGCCAGCUUGUUGUUGAUGAGUUGCAGGCAGCUGUGGUGAGGUGGCAAACAGAAGGCAGCAAGCAGAAUUGUGCAGAGGGUUGUGCCAUUGUCCCCCUGAUUAUGUAUCUUGACUGCUUGAAGCUUCACAAAUUUUCAGUCAUGCACACGUUGACGCCACGUGCGUCAUACCUGACGACCAAGGACCUGAUGAAGUUAUACAAUGAGGAUGUGCUUGUGACGGGAAAGAUUUACUUGGAAACUUACAAAUUUGGGAAGCCGCCGUCGAAGGCGUCAGGUGAUAUUGUGUACAACCGUCCUGUUGCAGUUACAUUUGUUGGCGGCAAAAAACACGAGGAGAUUGAUAAGCUUCUUGUGAAGGUUUUGAAGUUGACUAAAGAUUUGCCAACCUCUGGUGACAGGUUGACGACAGUUGCUCAUUUUUUCCAUGUUGGCCAUGGCCCACGAGAUGAAGAUAUUGUUGCUGCUCACAAUUUUGAUUGUGGCGUGAUUGAAAGCCUGAAGAUUGCAGUGACGAAUGUUCGGUCUUCCUAUGCUCAAUUGAGUCAUACACAGGAGGAAAAAUGCGGUCGGUAUGAGAAGGAUGCUGGGCAUAUUUUGAAUGAAAUGAACCGUCAGGACGCUGGUGUUGGCGCUGAUAAUGCUGGAGUGGAAUCUGCUGGUGUCCAUGGAACCAGGGACGAUAGAAUUGGUCAGACUGGUGUUGCUGCUUGUGAUGUGCACAAAGAGUCCUACGAUGGAUCUGGGAAGGAUGAGGUCUUGGCUGAUGCAUCGUCCCCUCCGGAUGUUGUAGAUGAUAAGCCUAGAGAAGAAAACGUGGAAGUUCACGUUGAUCUGAAUCAGGGCGGUUGUGCUGUUGAUGGUGGUGGCAGUGUUGGUGCUUCUGCAUCGGUUGCGGUCGACCGUGUAGACCCUUCUGUAGCUCAAGAAUCCCAUGAUGCUAUUUCCCCCAGCCGGCAUGAAGAUUCUGAAUUUGGCAUUGAAAAGCCGCUGGAGAAUGUCGUCCCUACUGUUAGUGUUAUUGCUUCCCGUGUUUGUCUGGCGGCCAAUGAUGUUCCUGAAACUGUUGUAAAUCCAGAUAAUGCUGAUGUUGCUGCAGAUGGACAGUCCAAUGAUGUUGUGUUGGAUUCGUUGCAACCUAUCCAAGAAAAUGUAUUGGUCAGCUCUGAAGAACAACAGCAUGAAGACUCUGACACUGAAGGCAAGAGUUUUGUUUUGAACAAUGACGAACUUCCUGUUGUGACACCGUCGAGCAUUGAUCCAGCUCUCCUUAAAAGAUACAAUGAGUUGUGCGCUUCUGUUACGAGGGUUCGGAUGGACAAGAAGAAGAAGUAUGUUUUUCAUGAAAAAUUCAGGGACAUGAUUGCUUUUAAAACUGAGAUGGGUGAUAUUACCAUUGGCGAAGUUGGUCAAUCAUUUUGGGAUAAAGGGAUGCUCACUACGAGACUUGUAGAUCUUGGGGUUUCUUUGUUGGUAGAUAAGUUUAAGGGAUCUCCGACAAUGGUUGUCCCCUACCAUAUUUGUGCAAAUAUUUGGAAUGGUGGUACUGUAGGCAGGAGUGUUAAAAUGAUAUUCUCUUCAAAAGCCGAGGUGCGUGUUGAUAAAAAGGAUAUGGUCCUUUUUGCAACUUUUGAUCCGCCAAAUAUGAGGGAUGGCGUUGGUCAUUAUUGUGUAGUUGUGUUAAAUGUGAAAGAAAGGCGGUUUGAAUUUCUUGACUCGCUCAAUAAACCUGGCAGCGCUGAUGCGAUCAGGGUUUUUAGGAGGAUGGUUAAAAAUAUCAAGCGUGCAUGGAAAGAAGGAAGCUCAAGUUCUGAUGAGCCGCUAAAUCCUCCUACACUUGAUGGAUUUGUGUUGAAACAUGUCAUUGUCCCAAUACAGCCAAAUGGGCAUGAUUGUGGAUUCUAUAUGUUUCAAUUCUUGCAGACAUGGGAUGGUGUUCGAGUUGCUCAGUUUGGGGUGGAGCACAUUGGCUACAUCAGAAAGGCCAUGCUGUAUAGUUGGCUCACAUCAAGAAAUGAGAUGAAUUUUAUUUUUUGGGCAAGUUUUGAUGGUGGGCUUCAUGAAGGCUGUACGUCACUGUUCGAGUCCCAGGGUUCUGAGGUGGUUAUGGAGGAUUGUGUCAUUGAAAUCUCUCUAGAUAAUUCUGGUUCUUUGGCUGGAGAUGGUUUGAACACGGUUGUGGCGUCUGGACCUGAUGGUGGAAGUGUUUCUCGACCUAGCUCUCCACGCGAUGUAUUUGAUGUUGAUGAUGAUGAUUUUGUUACGCCGUGUCCUCGCGCCACUAGGGCUAGGAGUGCAACAAUUAAUCGCCCUCCUGAGGAUGACGUUGAAAUAUUUUCGAACAAGAGGGCAGGUGAGAGGGAUUUUAAGUUGAGAUGCUCUAUAGAGAAAUUGAAGCCUCCGAGGUUCAAAUAUAUUGAUGAGGCGAGGAAAAUAAAGGAUCUUGUUCUGAGCAAAGAUUUUGUAACCAAAUACCGCGAGAAUGCGUUCUUUAUGUAUGUUCUUCAGAUGGAAACCUUUGUGACGAAAGAUGAUGAAGUCAACCCUGUGUUGCCAGUAGUGCAUAGCACGUUUGUUUUACAAGAUGUAGUUAACCAGUUCAAGGUUCUUGUGAGUGACGACGUAAACCUGUUGGACGCAAAACUGAUCCCCCCAGCUAGGAUUUACAACCUCGCAACCGCGAGGAUGUAUACCCUCAUCUGCUUCUCAGACAGCCCUCCGGGAGGCGGUCGAACAGCCCCCCGGACGGUGUCGCGGACAGCCCUUCGGGAGGACCUUCGAAACUCGAACGGUCACUCGGACAGCCCUUCGGGAGGACCUUCGAAACUCGGACGGUCACACGGACAGCCCUUCGGGAGGCACUCACGAACUAAGACCGAAACUACGAUCUCUCUACAGAGUUGCACACAUACGGUGUCAUCUAUCCGGCAGGGCUUCGCCGUCCAGAACUAG